GUGCUUGCACCUUUCAAGCGAGUGGCGAACGGGUGAGUAACACGUGGAUAACCUGCCUCAAGGCUGGGGAUAACAUUUGGAAACAGAUGCUAAUACCGAAUAAAACUUAGUAUCGCAUGAUAUCAAGUUAAAAGGCGCUACGGCGUCACCUAGAGAUGGAUCCGCGGUGCAUUAGUUAGUUGGUGGGGUAAAGGCUUACCAAGACGAUGAUGCAUAGCCGAGUUGAGAGACUGAUCGGCCACAUUGGGACUGAGACACGGCCCAAACUCCUACGGGAGGCUGCAGUAGGGAAUCUUCCACAAUGGGCGCAAGCCUGAUGGAGCAACGCCGCGUGUGUGAUGAAGGCUUUCGGGUCGUAAAGCACUGUUGUAUGGGAAGAAAUGCUAAAAUAGGGAAUGAUUUUAGUUUGACGGUACCAUACCAGAAAGGGACGGCUAAAUACGUGCCAGCAGCCGCGGUAAUACGUAUGUCCCGAGCGUUAUCCGGAUUUAUUGGGCGUAAAGCGAGCGCAGACGGUUGAUUAAGUCUGAUGUGAAAGCCCGGAGCUCAACUCCGGAAUGGCAUUGGAAACUGGUUAACUUGAGUGUUGUAGAGGUAAGUGGAACUCCAUGGGUA
rnacentral:rRNA from 1 species